ensembl:lincRNA 1700037C06Rik RIKEN cDNA 1700037C06 gene
CACAUCCACACUGGUUUUGAGUUGACAGGAUGUGGUUCAGAGGCGACCUAACCUUCUCCAUCUCCAAAUGUCAGGGACAGGCUGCAGGAGGGAGAGCCUGCCAGGGAUGAAUCAGUGAGAGAGGGUUUUGUUUGUUUUUGUUUUCUCAGAAGAAUAAAAAACCAGCAGUGCCAUCUCUUCUCCCCCUCUUUUUCCUGGAACUCUGAAGUUUGGCUUUUGUUGGAUUAAUGACCCCUAAGUUCCCACCUCGGUUUCUGGGAUCAAGUCCCUUAGCCACUCAGCACCUUGGCCCACUGGGCAGCCGGCUGACAGUGAGGGCUGAGCUCACGUGGCAGCUGUGGGGGGCUCAAUGGAGUCUCUUCUGAAGGUGGAGACAGGUCUGCUGGAGCCCAGACUCACCCCCUCUGGAGCCAUUACACAACCUGCUGUCCCGUCACUUCCAGCUUCUGUUGUCUCUCUACCCUGCAAACUCCUAGUCACCAUACAAAACCCAAUCUUGUCAGUCACCGUUGGCGUUGCAGCACGAGUUUGCUGUCUGCUGCCCUUGGAUUGUAGGCUCCCUCCCCAAGGGUGAGGAUUAUACUUGUUGGCUCAGGGAACUGAGCCAAUUCCAGUGUCUGACAUAGUUGUAGAAUGGAAUGAAUGCUUCAUCUCUGGAAGAAAGGAAAGCUGGCCCCACUGAGACAUCUGGGCGCAUCUGAACACACAAGCCUGCUGUGUGCCCUAAGUCUGUCACCGUGAACAUGACGCUGUCUCUGUGGCUUCACCCAUCCUAAGCCUUAAAAUGGUUGGACCACCCUGGGUCUCUAGGUUUGCAGUCUUGGCUCCUGUGUCAUGCAAAGCUAUAGUGGAAUAAACUUGUCUUGCUUA